rnacentral:rRNA from 1 species
AAAUUGAAGAGUUUGAUCAUGGCUCAGAUUGAACGCUGGCGGCAGGCCUAACACAUGCAAGUCGAGCGGUAACACAGAGAGCUUGCUCUCGGGUGACGAGCGGCGGACGGGUGAGUAAUGUCUGGGAAACUGCCUGAUGGAGGGGGAUAACUACUGGAAACGGUAGCUAAUACCGCAUAACGUCGCAAGACCAAAGUGGGGGACCUUCGGGCCUCAUGCCAUCAGAUGUGCCCAGAUGGGAUUAGCUAGUAGGUGGGGUAAUGGCUCACCUAGGCGACGAUCCCUAGCUGGUCUGAGAGGAUGACCAGCCACACUGGAACUGAGACACGGUCCAGACUCCUACGGGAGGCAGCAGUGGGGAAUAUUGCACAAUGGGCGCAAGCCUGAUGCAGCCAUGCCGCGUGUAUGAAGAAGGCCUUCGGGUUGUAAAGUACUUUCAGCGAGGAGGAAGGCGUUAAGGUUAAUAACCUUAGCGAUUGACGUUACUCGCAGAAGAAGCACCGGCUAACUCCGUGCCAGCAGCCGCGGUAAUACGGAGGGUGCAAGCGUUAAUCGGAAUUACUGGGCGUAAAGCGCACGCAGGCGGUCUGUCAAGUCGGAUGUGAAAUCCCCGGGCUCAACCUGGGAACUGCAUUCGAAACUGGCAGGCUAGAGUCUUGUAGAGGGGGGUAGAAUUCCAGGUGUAGCGGUGAAAUGCGUAGAGAUCUGGAGGAAUACCGGUGGCGAAGGCGGCCCCCUGGACAAAGACUGACGCUCAGGUGCGAAAGCGUGGGGAGCAAACAGGAUUAGAUACCCUGGUAGUCCACGCCGUAAACGAUGUCGACUUGGAGGUUGUGCCCUUGAGGCGUGGCUUCCGGAGCUAACGCGUUAAGUCGACCGCCUGGGGAGUACGGCCGCAAGGUUAAAACUCAAAUGAAUUGACGGGGGCCCGCACAAGCGGUGGAGCAUGUGGUUUAAUUCGAUGCAACGCGAAGAACCUUACCUACUCUUGACAUCCAGAGAACUUAGCAGAGAUGCUUUGGUGCCUUCGGGAACUCUGAGACAGGUGCUGCAUGGCUGUCGUCAGCUCGUGUUGUGAAAUGUUGGGUUAAGUCCCGCAACGAGCGCAACCCUUAUCCUUUGUUGCCAGCGGUCCGGCCGGGAACUCAAAGGAGACUGCCAGUGAUAAACUGGAGGAAGGUGGGGAUGACGUCAAGUCAUCAUGGCCCUUACGAGUAGGGCUACACACGUGCUACAAUGGCAUAUACAAAGAGAAGCGACCUCGCGAGAGCAAGCGGACCUCAUAAAGUAUGUCGUAGUCCGGAUUGGAGUCUGCAACUCGACUCCAUGAAGUCGGAAUCGCUAGUAAUCGUAGAUCAGAAUGCUACGGUGAAUACGUUCCCGGGCCUUGUACACACCGCCCGUCACACCAUGGGAGUGGGUUGCAAAAGAAGUAGGUAGCUUAACCUUCGGGAGGGCGCUUACCACUUUGUGAUUCAUGACUGGGGUGAAGUCGUAACAAGGUAACCGUAGGGGAACCUGCGGUUGGAUCACCUCCUUA